rnacentral:rRNA from 1 species
UACGUAGGUGGCAAGCGUUGUCCGGAAUUAUUGGGCCUAAAGCAUCCGUAGCCGGUUCUGCAAGUCCCCCGUUAAAUCCAGCUGCUCAACAGAUGGGCCGCGGAGGAUACUACAGAGCUAGGAGGCAGGAGAGGCAAGCGGUACUCAGUGGGUAGGGGUAAAAUCCGUUGAUCCAUUGAAGACCACCAGUGGCGAAGGCGGCUUGCCAGAAUGCGCUCGACGGUGAGGGAUGAAAGCUGGGGGAGCAAACCGG